AUAUACAGUGCUGUUCAAAAUAAUAGCAGUGCAAUUGUGGCAACCAAUCUCUGAGUUCAUCAAUUUUGGGGAAGAAAGAAAAAAACAAAAACAGGUGUGAAUCAGGUGGCGCCUAUUUAAGGAUGACGAAGCCAGCACAGGUUGAACAUGCAUUUGAGGAAAAUGGGUCGUUCAAGACACUGUUCCAAAGAACGGCGUUCUUUGAUUAAAAAGUUGAUUGGAGAGGGAAGAACCUAUUAAGAGGUGCAAAAAUGUGUUGGCUGUUCAGCUAAAAUGAUCUCCAAUGCCUUAAAAUGGGUAGAAAAACCAGAGACACGUGGAAGAAAACGGAAGACAACUAUUAAAAUGGACCGGAGAAUAACCAGAAUGGUAAAGGCUCAGCCAAUGAUCAGCUCCAGGAUGAUCAAACACAGUCUGCAGUUACCUCUAACUGCUGUGACAGUUAGAAGACGUCUUUGUGAAGCAAAUUUAUUUUCAAGAAUCCCACGCAAAGUCCCUCUGUUACAAAAAA